GAUGAAGAACGUAGCGAAAUGCGAUAAGUAAUGUGAAUUGCAGAAUUCAGUGAAUCAUCGAAUCUUUGAACGCAUCAUGCGCUCCUUGGUAUUCUGAGGAGCAUGCCUGUUUGAGUGUCAUUAAAUUCUCAACUACACUGACUUUGAAUUGGUGUGGCUUGGAUUUGGGGGGAAAAUUGUUGUGGGCUUUUUGUAUAGUCUGCUCCCCUGAAAUUGAUUAGCGGUACCUUUGUGGAACUGUCUACAGGUGUGAUAAUUAUCUACAUCUUAGACAUCUGCUGGAAUGCUGCUUUCUAAACCUUACUUGUAUUGACAAUCUUGACCUCAAAUCAGGUAGGACUACCCGCUGAACUUAAGCAUAUCAAUAAGCGGAGGA
rnacentral:misc_RNA from 1 species